rnacentral:rRNA from 1 species
GACGAACGCUGGCGGCGUGCUUAACACAUGCAAGUCGAACGGAAAGGCCCUGCUUUUGUGGGGUGCUCGAGUGGCGAACGGGUGAGUAACACGUGAGUAACCUGCCCUUGACUUUGGGAUAACUUCAGGAAACUGGGGCUAAUACCGGAUAGGAGCUCCUGCUGCAUGGUGGGGGUUGGAAAGUUUCGGCGGUUGGGGAUGGACUCGCGGCUUAUCAGCUUGUUGGUGGGGUAGUGGCUUACCAAGGCUUUGACGGGUAGCCGGCCUGAGAGGGUGACCGGCCACAUUGGGACUGAGAUACGGCCCAGACUCCUACGGGAGGCAGCAGUGGGGAAUAUUGCACAAUGGGCGGAAGCCUGAUGCAGCAACGCCGCGUGCGGGAUGACGGCCUUCGGGUUGUAAACCGCUUUCGCCUGUGACGAAGCGUGAGUGACGGUAAUGGGUAAAGAAGCACCGGCUAACUACGCGCCAGCGGCCGCGGUGAUACGUAGGGUGCGAGCGUUGUCCGGAUUUAUUGGGCGUAAAGGGCUCGUAGGUGGUUGAUCGCGUCGGAAGUGUAAUCUUGGGGCUUAACCCUGAGCGUGCUUUCGAUACGGGUUGACUUGAGGAAGGUAGGGGAGAAUGGAAUUCCUGGUGGAGCGGUGGAAUGCGCAGAUAUCAGGAGGAACACCAGUGGCGAAGGCGGUUCUCUGGGCCUUUCCUGACGCUGAGGAGCGAAAGCGUGGGGAGCGAACAGGCUUAGAUACCCUGGUAGUCCACGCUGUAAACGGUGGGUACUAGGUGUGGGGUCCAUUCCACGGGUUCCGUGCCGUAGCUAACGCUUUAAGUACCCCGCCUGGGGAGUACGGCCGCAAGGCUAAAACUCAAAGGAAUUGACGGGGCCCCGCACAAGCGGCGGAGCAUGCGGAUUAAUUCGAUGCAACGCGUAGAACCUUACCUGGGUUUGACAUGGAUCGGGAGCGCUCAGAGAUGGGUGUGCCUCUUUUGGGGUCGGUUCACAGGUGGUGCAUGGCUGUCGUCAACUCGUGUCGUGAGAUGUUGGGUUAAGUCCCGCAACGAGCGCAACCCUUGUUCACUGUUGCCAGCACGUUAUGGUGGGGACUCAGUGGAGACCGCCGGGGUCAACUCGGAGGAAGGUGGGGAUGACGUCAAGUCAUCAUGCCCCUUAUGUCCAGGGCUUCACGCAUGCUACAAUGGCUGGUACAGAGAGUGGCGAGCCUGUGAGGGUGAGCGAAUCUCGGAAAGCCGGUCUCAGUUCGGAUUGGGGUCUGCAACUCGACCUCAUGAAGUCGGAGUCGCUAGUAAUCGCAGAUCAGCAACGCUGCGGUGAAUACGUUCCCGGGGCU